rnacentral:lncRNA from 1 species
UUUUUUUAUUUUCUUCUCCUCUCUCUGUGCCAAAUUGCAGGUGAAGUUUGAGUUGUGUGAGACAUUGCUUUCUAGACUCUUUUACGAGAGCAGUCGUAUUUUUACGCAUCUAAAUUUCAUCGCCAAGCGUAAGGAUAAGAAGAAACUCUUUUUCGCGGAGAUAGAGGACUGUGGACAGGGUGGUAAAGAGAUCUUGGAAGUACGCUGUUGCGUUCCCCUGGAUUCAUUAUGUGAAGGUAAACCUGCCGAAUCUUCAGAAUAUUAUUCAGAUCAAUGAUUUAUUGGCUGUGUGUUUAUUCCCUAUUCGCCAGUUUGUUGCUAUAUAUUUUGGCACUAAACUGCCUCUUACUAUUUUGUUAUGCAGGUGGUUAUUAUUACUACUGUCAUGAUCCUAGACGUGGCUGUAGGAAAGGGUUUGACUUCACACGAUGCUACGGCUGCAGCGAGUUCCUGAAACAUCCGGUUGAUGGCUCGACUUACUCAGGAGGCCAUGACCAUCGGAGGAGGAACUAUAUAGUUUAGAAUGUUGUUUCGUUUAUCUAUAUAGUUUAGAAUGUUGUUUCAUUUAUCAGCGGUGGAAGACAGAGUUGCCGGUGAAAACCGAGCCGAUGGCAGUCGAUGGCGACGUUCUCCGCCGCUACCUUGAUGAAUGCAUCGUCGUGUAACUUCUGUCGACCCACUCGUGCUGCUUCAGGGGAAACCCUAGGAUCUAGUCUUCCACAUCGGACGAUGGCGGUACUGCGAUGUUGUUUCUCUCUUGGGAGCAUCGUUUGUGGAGCAGUGCUGAAAGACAGAGGCAGGAGGUGGAGCGGCUUCGUCUUGCACUGAGUUUCGGUGGAGAUGUCAAGUCAUGCCUGUCCGGCGGGUGCUACGCACGACAGAUCCUUUAAAAUCUUCGUCUCUGGAUGGACGAGCGCAGGGCGGUGGCGCCGUUGGGCGCCGUGAUGGUGUCGAUGGAUGGACGGACUGACAAGGAUGAUGGAGAUCUCUCUCCUAAAGAUGAGUCAACGGUCUGAUGAUACUGACAGCUUUUAAAACGUGUAUAUGUGGUGUACGCUUUAGGUCUGAUGCAUCGGCUAUUCAUUUCGAUACAUUAUUUGGAUGGAUCAACAACGACACCGGAUUUAGAUAUGAGAGUGAGAGCACUUGACAUUAUCAAGUUUUGUAAGUAUGAGUGAUGGCUUCGGAUGGCUUGAUAUAUGUUUUUGUUAGACCUUGUUGAGUAAUAAAUGAAGAUGAUCGUAUGCAUUAAUUGAUGUAGAGGCCUGAGAAUUUUAACCUCCCUUUCAAAAAAAAGGAAUCAGUAGUGGAGUCUCAUGGAGGUCCAUACUGGACCUUGCAGCAACGGGUGACAGUGAGCCCCAUUGUUAAUUAAUUAAAUUCACCAUGGAUCUGUACACCUUUGUUUUUAAAUAUAAUACUUCUUUGAACAAACAAGAUGUCUUAUAUUUAGAAACAAAUGCAGUAUUUUGGAUUAAUGCCCGCUGAAAGCUCGUGGUGUGUACUGUGAUGUAGUAUUCACUAAAUGUGUACUGAUGUGAAUUUCCAAGAUAAAAGAGCACCCGGCCAAUUUGAAAGAAAAAUGAAAAGGAACAUAGUUUCAGUAAAGGGAACCCAGGGACCAUAUUCUUCUUCGAUCUGAAUUUUGCUCAAGUCUCGAAUAAACUCAAGGACAUCUUCAAAAAGCAUUGUCAUUAACCACCAGGCCAUUGCGAGCAUCCCUAUAUAAGAGAGGAACACGGAGGGGGUGGCAUCGUUCACUUCGUGAUGCACUUCCCUUUCCUUGCACUUUAUUCUAUCUUCUCCCUUCCCAUGGCGCCCCUCCGCCACCAUGACACUUGCACUAUGCCUUUCCUUCCCUCAUCACCUCCUCCACUUCUCACGUUAUACGAGGAGAUGAUUGUCGCUCGGCUCACUUGAUGUUGCCCAUGGACGCGAUGGUGCCUUUCUGGAGCCACAUGGCGCAGUAUGAGGCGACAGCGGCGCCUCCACGGGUUUGGUUUGAUCCUUUAAAACAACUAGAUGACUCGUUGCGCCAAUGGCGCAAGGGGCGAGAGGGAGCCAAGUAUUGUGAGAAUAUUUAGACACCCAAGUUGAAAACCAAAUGUGGCCAACACUCCCGCAUCCUCUGCUUGGAAGCCGCCUUUUCUCACCGGAUCUAACAUAGAUACAUGAUUCUUCAAGAGCAAAUUUUAGAGAAACUAUAAAUCAUGACCCUCAGAGUGAUUAUGCAAAAUAUAAACACAUAGACAUCUUGAGAUCGACAGCAAUGCACCAACAACUUUUUUUCAAACCGCCAUAACUUUGGCAAACAAACACUUGCCGAUCAUCCUUGUUAGUUAUCCUGAGAAAGACCAUGCCUCCACAGUGCGUUAUACAAAUAUUCCAUGCUAUCAAAGGCACUUCCGAUCUAACAAAGAUUCAAAUGCCAAGCCUAACAAUGAAUAACAACAAACAACCACAUUCUAAAAUGUACUAAACUUGGAUAUGCACUUUGUUACUUCAUUUUAUAAACCGUUAUAAGCGCUAUAAUUUCUUUCAUUUAUCUGAUUUAAUUGUCCCAAACUCCCAAUACAUAUUUAAACCGUGUUGUGGGCUUACAAGAGACAAAUGACAAAUUCAAAAUAAUGGGCCAGCCCAAGUUACUUGACUAGGCGAUGUUAAUCCACUUACUCACUUCAUGACCAUCCCCUCCUUCUCCAAUCUCUCACUCACCCUGUAGUUUCCACCGCAUCGCCGCUGCUCCUCUGCAUCGGAGAGACGUCUUCAAUUGCAAGAUCCACUCCUGCACGCACAAGAUCUAAUUCCUCCAAUGUACGCAUCGCGUCACCAGGUCAGUUCGUUAGCUGGAUCCUCACCAGGUCAGGCUACCUCAACCACUUCCAAGUGAACCUUCACAAACAACACAGUAUUACCUCUAAAAGAUAGCAAGUAAAUCCGGAGUAUUUCAGUUUUGAGCUGAUGAUUUUUUCCUAGAGGCAAGGUCAUAGAUAGCAAAGUUUUACUUUUCAAACAAAGGCAGUAGUGUAAUUAUUAGCCAUCAUUAAAAUCAAUAUUGUCUCAUGAAAAUGCCUACCCUGUUGACCCACUAAUGGCAACUACAAAAAUGUUUGAUUCAUCACGCCUAAUUCAAAUUAGCUUCAAUGCCUCAUGUUUACUUCCAUAGCCUAAACUAAUAAAUCACUGAAACUUCUUCUCUGCUAAACCUAUGUCUACUUGCUAAUCAACACCCGAGUAAUAACAUGGUAGAUCAUCAUACAUGUUUAUCUCCUGUUUUCUUGAUGUCUGAGUAACAGUAUAUGCAUGUGUACUCUACAGUUUAAACAAGCUCAACGCCCUACUAUUCUGGUUGAUAGCUGACUGUUGAGUCAUUGGCACUAAGGUUGCUAAUAGAACGGCGCACUUACAGAGAGUCCAUGAACAAGAUAGAAAGCAGAAAAUAUAACAUAAAAUAGAGAUGUAAUUCCCCUUUCUACUAUGAUGUAUAUGCUUGUUUAGGGCAAACCAUAUAUUUUCAGAAAUUUGUACCUUAUCAGCUAUUUGAUUUGGUUACCGCAGUUCGGUCUUUUCCCUCUUGUGAGUUCUGCACCAUCCUCACAUGAUUCAUCAACAACCACCUAGAAACGAUCAGCAGAGAAAAAAAAUCAAAGUGAAAUCAAAUGGAAUCGCAUGUAGGUAGUAGCAAAGUACGAUAUGUCACUCUAUUGGCACUUCGCCUGUACACCAUGCAACAUCAAGUGAGGCAUGAGCAAUAAAGUGAUCAGAUACCAACAUCAUGUAUUAAGCACAAAUCAUGAAUCAAUACCAGAGGACCAAAUAGUGUCACCACCUCUGUACUAACAACCAAACUUUUUUUAGAAGAACAGGGAGGCUCUAACAACCAACGUUUUAGCAUGUCAUUUGUUUAACAACCAAGCCGUUUACCAAGCAAAACCACAAUAGCUAAAUCUCCCAAGAGCAUACUUUCAGAGAAGCACAGUCUAGAUCAUGCACCCACAAAUAAACGACUUGGUUUUCAACUGGCAUAAUGAUUUCCUUCCUACCGCAAACCUCUGCCUGCAGCUUUAAACUGAACCAUCAAGUUCGAAUGUCAUUUAUCUACAAAAGUAUUGCCAUGGCAGUCUAAUUUCCCAAGGGCAGGAGUGAAAUAUACUUUCAGAAUGUGCAGUUCAGAUCAUGCAGUUAGAAAUAAACUUUAUGGUAGUAACUCUACAGGACUUGCUAUUCAAUUAUCUUUUCUAGUACCCAUUUUGAACACGACACAAUGAUUAGCUCCUAUUAUGUAAGGUCACACUAUUUAAAUCGAGAAUUGCUCGCAUUUUCAUGAUUUUUUUAGUUAUCCUAGUAGUGUUUACUUGCACAUCAGGAGUAUCACAGUUACAGCUAGAGAGGCAUUGUCCUAUCAUAAUUUAAAUAUCAGAAGCUGACAGCAGUAAUGUAAAUACAUAUGGUCGAGACAUAAUUUUGUAGCAAAACAUGUCAGAGAGGCAAUAGAUUACAUGUGAAGGCACCCACACAAGAUUAUUACAAGAGCAGACACAAGGAUCAGAACACUAAGUAACAAUUAGAAUCUGUAUUGCGAGCUCCCUUCCCCCAUUCUAUUUUUGCUUGACAUUCAAACCAAAAACAAAGUAAUUCUUUUUAAUUUCCAAAGCACAUGUGAAUAUGACAAUACAACUUGUCAAACCAGUACAUUGACUCAUAGCUCUGUGUCUAACAUUCAAAUUUAAAAUUAAGUAACUCUAUUUUGUUCUUAACGAAAACAAAAAGGACCUCAGAAAGCCCAAGUAGCACCAAAAAAAUAUAACACGGGAUAUUAAAAAAACACUGAAGCAUCAGAGUAGAGAGUAAUUAUCAAAUAGAAACAAAAGGAAAACAAAAGCAAGAAGCUCCCAUCCCCCAUCUGUUUUUGUUUUCUUUCACUUAUAUACACCAGACCAAUAGACAAGCACUUUAACUAUAAAAAACAUAAUUCCUAAUUCAAGAACAUAGUUGAAUAUUGGAGCACCACAUACUACUCUUCGUAAAGUAAAACCAGGCAUGUGAAGUCUCGCUUGACGGACGCUGCUUAGGAAGGAUUCAAUUAUGCUAUUGUUCAGUAGGUACAUUACAAAGCCCGUUCAUGCUAACAGUAGUAGAUUCUUGUAAUCACACUUCAUGUUCUAUUUUCUAAAUAAAAUAAAUGAUCUCGCUAUAGCAGAAAACAAUACAUGCAUAUAGCUGACUGAAUUACCUCGCAAAGGUUCUGUUCUUGCAUUUCUACAUCGCCCUUGGUGCUGAAAAUAUAUAAAACAUCAGGCCAACGCUUAACAAGAUUUUGAUACUUCAGGUGAUAGGAGCACAUCCUACCAGAAGUUUAGAACAAGAUGCACCAGAAGAACAGAUAAACUGAACUGUAGACAGUUACCCCAAACACAUAACAGGAACUGACAAACUUAACUGCAACAAAUCAUUAUACUCCACAGGAGCAAAAGAAAAUAGAACCGAAAGAGGAAGCACAAACCUUGGCAGCAAGAAUAACAACAUGUGAGCCGACAAGAUGGUGGAAGAGCGGCAUCAUCUGCAACACAAACAGAAAGAACAUAGGAAGAACUGAUCAGACAGAUAAAACACAUGAAAAUGUAUAUAAGACAACCAAUGGUAGUACAUAUAGGUGAAUUAAAAUGCAUUGGGUCAGCCAAAAACAGAGAAAACAUAACUGAUGAGAGCACAUAAAAGUAGAAAUAUGGGAAAGGAAGCCAAUGGUACAAUAGACAAAUUGUAAUGCAUGUGCUAAAAUAAAUGGGCUCAUCCUAGAGUCGUAGACCACCCGUCAAAUAAUCACCACAACACAUCCAAGCAGAAAUCCAGGGAAUGCCAAAGGCAGAAUAGACAAGCUCCAAAAUCGAUCUAGCUAGUCCAGGCAAGACAGGGGAAUGGGCUGCUGCAAUCAAAGUUAUAUGCAAGAUUCAGUAACAGAUUACUUCGUUGCCGCUGACUCAGAACUGAACUAAGCUAGGCAUACCCGCUGGAUUCAGGAACAUAUUACUUCGUUGCCGCUGACUCAGAACUGAAGUAAGCUAGGCAUACCCGCUGGAUUCAGGAACAGAUUACUUUGUUGCCGCUGACUCGGAACUGAACUAAGCUAGGCACCCGAGCACCGCGCUAGUCUGCUAGAAUCCAGCGGGUAUGCCAACAAAUAUCCUCGUUUGAUAUGCCAACAAAGAUCACACACAUGGGGAGGUUGUCAAAACCAAUACAUCAGCACACAUCGCUUU